UUGCAGCCCCAAAGCCCUCCAAGACCAGGGUGGACAUGACAUCCUUCACAUUUCAGGAAGCAGAAGUACAACUUUAAUAAAGGAAGCUAUCACAGUUGUCCUAUAUUGUGCUAAAGAGACAUAAAAGAGCAGAGCAGAAAAUGAAGCAACAUGCUGGGCGUAAAUCUUAAGAGGAUUUGUAAUGCUAGCAGUGGUGGGUAAUCCUUUUUUUAAUGGACUGACACCAUCCUUCACUAGAAGACAAAUGGAGUUCUGGGUAAACGGAGUUGGUGGCCAUCCUUUCUAUGCCACCCUCCCCCAUAUAGGGCUUGCUGGCAGCCAUGACCUGUGAACCCCCCAUUUCUGCUCUCUUUCCCCACAGCCUGAGAAAAACACCAAAGCUAAGAAUUGGAUUUUAUUGAUACUGCACAAGAUCAGUAUAAGAAUUGUGCUUCCUCGGGAUUUGCAGAAGAAACAUCCUCUUCAUUUCAAAUAUUCUCACAUAAGGGAUGAUACCAAAGAUGACUUAGCUGGUUUCUGAUUUGUUGCCACACAUCUGACAUGUUUUCAUACAACAAAUCAGCUUAUCUGUAUCUUGGUUUUGGGGGGUUGUUGAAAGCAGAACAAAGGUCACUCCCUGUAUAGACUAAUUCACAAAUGAUUUAAAGACAAAAGUACCUCAGCAAGCAAAACCCCUUCAGCAUGUAAGUGUAAGACUAAUUCCAAAAAAGUUGGGACACUGUAAAAUAUUGACAAGAUCAGAUUUUGAUGUGAUGGUUUGCAAAUGGUUUAGUCAGUAUUCACUCAAUAAUAGUACACAUACUAUAAAUGAAAGGGAAAAAGAAUAAUAUGCAUAUUAUUUUGUUUAUUUUAUUAGUAUUGGACUAGUGUUACAUUUGUGCCACAUAUAGCUCCCUCAACACAUUAAAUAACACAAUGGCCACAUCCUGUGGCACAUAGUCAAACCAGUCAUGGCCGGCUCAUGACAUUUAGACAGUUUUUAUCUGCACACUGCACUUGCCAGUACCACUGCAAUGCCAAGAGUAUGAAAAGUGGUUCAGAUGUGUGCGCUAACUGGUGCUGAUAUCUGUGACAGACGGUUGAGAGGUUUGGUAUUUUACUAUGACACACUGACUGUCUGUAGAUAAAACUUAGUACAUCUGUAGAUUAUUGUAAUAUUCUCUUGUUAUCACCAACCUCAACAUCAGCAUGAUUUACUUACAGAAUGAUAUAAGCUUUAGUGAUAUUCACAUGGAUUUUGGUGGUGAAGCAGUGUUUUCUGAUGAAAACUCAGAAAUGGUAACAUUCCUGUGUCAGAUCUACACUGUGGCAUACAAUAUGGGCCCACGCAGCCCUGUAGGCCUACCUACACAGUAGCCUAGGUAUGUAGCCUGAGGUGUACCUCCUCAAAAAUAUCUGUCAAUGUGCCAAAAUAACUCAUGUUGGGAGCGCUGUGAUAGGUGCUCUAAGGAGCGUCAGGUUUCUUGCAUUUACAUUUCCGAUACUCUCAGAUGUUUAUUGCCUUUAGAAUACAUCUUAUCCCCUUUUUUCUUCUUUGCAAUAACUGCAGCAUGAUGAACUUGUUCUCAACUUUUAUCAGCUCCAACCCUUAGAUAAUACCCCCAUCAAACAUAGUCUGAGUUGGCAUGGUUUCCUCUGCAAACCAUCAGAGAAUGUUGCUCCACUUGAAACUGGCGAUUGGACUAUAAAAAUAACACUUCCACCUAGAGUUUAUGUAGAGUAUUGCUUGGGCCAAGCUGGGAACACCCCAAAGUCCCAGAAGCAUCUCUACACUCAGUGUGCCCUGCAUGGGCCAAGCUAAUCAGAGAAGAUCAACCUAAACAGGAUGUAAAGCACUGGACCAGUGCAUGUCAAUGGAAAAAUCCCAAUAUGCUGACUACCAACUCAGAUCAUGUUGAUGAGAGAUAAGACUUGGUCAUGGAUUCAUUUUUAACGCAAAACACAGCAGGAAUUUUAGAUGCUAACUCUGUCUGAAGGUAUUAGCACAGCAAAGUGGAACAUAAUUUACAUGUAAACACGUGUAAACCUGCAAAAACCGAAACCUUAAAAUCAUGUUGCUUGUUCACAAA
rnacentral:lncRNA from 1 species